rnacentral:rRNA from 1 species
UUAAAAAGCUCGUAGUUGGAUUUCUGUCGAGGGCGGCCGGUCCCUCUUAUUGAGGUGUAUCUGGUUCGGUCUUGGCAUCCUCCUGGGGAACGUUUCUGUGCUUGAUUGCAUGUGCGGUAUUCAGGACUUUUACUUUGAGGAAAUUAGAGUGUUCACGGCAGGCUUUCGCCUUGAAUACAUUAGCAUGGAAUAAUAAUAUAGGACCUUGGUGCUAUUUUGUUGGUCUCAAGAACUAAGGUAAUGAUUAAUAGGGAUAAUUGGGGGCAUUCGUAUUAACGCGUCAGAGGUGGAAUUCUUGGAUUGCGUUACGACGAACUACUGCGAAAGCAU